GCAGGAGGCCAAAAUGCCCUCAAGGCACCAGAUCCUGUCUAAUCUUGGAAGCUAAGCUGGGCCAGCCGUGGAUCGUACUUGGGUGGGAGGCUGACAAGAGAUCCCAUGUGCCUCCCCAC
rnacentral:rRNA from 1 species